rnacentral:rRNA from 1 species
CACGUAGGGUGCGAGCGUUGUCCGGAAUUAUUGGGCGUAAAGAGCUCGUAGGCGGUGUGUCGCGUCGGCCGUGAAAACCUGCAGCUUAACUGUGGGCUUGCGGUCGAUACGGGCAUCACUGGAGUUCGGCAGGGGAGACUGGAAUUCCUGGUGUAGCGGUGAAAUGCGCAGAUAUCAGGAGGAAUACCGGUGGCGAAGGCGGCAUCCUGGACCGGCAUUGACGCUGAGGAGCGAAAGCUAGGGGAGCAAACGGG